rnacentral:lncRNA from 1 species
AGCUUCCUGCUGAGCAUCACACAACUGAGGCCUGAGACAGGGUGCAUCUGGGCCAUGGCUUUGCAGACCACUCUGGACGCAGUGCGGCUGGGGGUCCUCCUCAGCUCUUUCUGGAAGGUUGUGGAGAGCAAGGACCAAAUAUCUCAGCCUGCCACUGUGAUGUCUUCGGAGGGAGCCGUGGCCGAAAUCUCCUGCAAUCACUCUAUAUCCAAUGCUUACAGCUUCUUCUGGUACCUUUACUUCCCGGGAUGUGCACCAAGGCUCCUCAUCAAGGGCUCAAGUCCUUCUCAGCAGGGACGCUACAACAUGACACAUGAGCGGUUCUCUUCAUCACUGCUCAUCCUUCAGGUGCAGGUGGCAGAUGCUGCUGUUUACUACUGUGCUCUGGAGGACACAGAGGCAGAGAGCCCGUAACAAGCUGAACAGAAACAGGGAGAGAACACAGCCUUUGCAGGAGGCAGAAAAGAGAUGAGCAAUAACCACACCUCCCACCCCCAAUUCAGCAUUCCCCAAGCUUUUCCAUUUGGCACUGCCAUCAGAAAAAAAAACUUUGAGUCCAGACACACUCUAUAUGAGUAAAUGUACAUAGGGAAAUUUGCUUUUAGGGAGUGAUUCAGUAAUGGCCCUGUAAAUCCAUGUUUUAAAUAGUCUUGAUAACUGGAACAAUUUUGACCCAUUUCUUUUUUGAAAUUGGAGUUGAUUUCUUGCUUUCCCUUGGAAAGCGGCUGAUGAUGAACUUGUGAUAGGAGGAAGAGUCAUGUCCACUCUGCCAUUUUCUUCUUGCUUUCUGGGUUUGUAUUUUAAAUAUUAUGUGCCCGCUUUAGUCUCUUUUCAAGCCAUGUAUCUGUUUUGUAAAGGAUACUUUAGUUGACAUUGGGUAACAGAGUAAGGUGAAAGGAAAUGAAUGCACCAACACCCCCGAGCUUCAAUCCUUCUCUCAGGAUAUCUUAAUUAUGAUAAUCUAAUAUACAGACCCACUGAGGAUGCUAGUGUCAGUCAGUAUAUAUACAUAUAUUUUUUGCUUUUUAGGGCUGCACCCAUGGCAUAUGACAGUUUCCAGGCUAGAGGUCGAAUGGAACUACAGCUGCCAGCCUAUGCCACAGCAAUGCAGGAUCCGAGCCACGUCUGCCACCUAUAACACAGCUCAAGGUACCACUGGAUCCUUAACCCACUGAUGGAGGCCAGGGAUGGAACUUGCAUCCUCCUGGAUACUAGUCGGGUUCAUAACCCGCUAAGCCACAGUGGGAACUCCAGUAUAUAAAAUAUUAGUAAAACUCAAUCUCCUUCCCAAUUUUUAAAUGGGAAAAAAAUACAAUUGGAAGUUGUAAUAUAUUCUUCGCAUAUCCUUGUUAAAUUAUCUUUGCCUUUUUACACAGAUGUGUCCCCCUCUCCCCACCCCCAACACUUUAGAGACUACUGUCUAAGGUAGAUCAGUUGUUCCCAACCCUUUUAAUCAGAAGUCUUUGAACUUUUGUUGAAAAAAUAGAUUUUUUUUUCUGCAUUCUAGAUUAUGAAUCGGGGUUUGCCGAAGUGGGGCUUGGAGUCUGUAUUUUCCAUAAUUGUUUCUCUUGUGAUUCUGUUCCUCAGCCAAGUUUGAUCUGGGAAUACCAGACUCUGGAUUCCAGAUCUUGAGGCUUUUUUUUUUCUGCUGCGCCUAUGGCAUGAGGAAGUUCCUGGGCCAGGGACUGAACUUGCGCCAUAGCAGCAAUCCAAGCUGCAGCAGUGAUGACAGAUCCUUAACCAGUGGUGCCACAGAGGGAACUUUCUAGGAAUCCUUUGGGUAUGCAG